CCUUUCCUACGGGGCGCAGCAGUGAGGAAUAUUGGUCAAUGGUCGGGAGACUGAACCAGCCAAGCCGCGUGAGGGAGGAAGGUACAGAGUAUCGUAAACCUCUUUUGUCAGGGAACAAAGACUGGGACGCGUCCCCGGAUGAGUGUACCUGAAGAAAAAGCAUCGGCUAACUCCGUGCCAGCAGCCGCGGUAAUACGGAGGAUGCGAGCGUUAUCCGGAUUUAUUGGGUUUAAAGGGUGCGCAGGCGGUCUGUUAAGUCAGCGGUCAAAGCCCGGGGCUCAACCCCGGCCCGCCGAUGAAACUGG
rnacentral:rRNA from 1 species